CUUAAAGAAAUGGUGGGAUAAAUCUUCAUGACCUUAGAUUUAGCAAUGGUUUCUUAGCUAGGACAACAAAAACAUACGCAAACAAAGGAAAAAGAUAAAUUGAACUUCAUUGAACUUAAAAUAUUUUGUGCUUCAAAGGACACAAUCAGGAAGUGAAAAAACCCAUAAAAUGGGAGAAAUAACUAAAUCUUCUAUCUGUUAAAGGGUUUGUACCUAGAAUGUAUGAAGAAUUUUUACGAUUCAAUAAUAAGAUGACCCAAUUUUAAAAUGGGCACAGGAUCUCACUUGAGUUUUGUAUGAGAUCAACAGGCUGCUAGUUGGAAGCUUGACUCCUAACUUUCUUCUUCUUGGAAGUUAAUCUUUCUAAUCUGUAUUUUAACCUGCACACCUUUGGAAGGAACGUAGUUAAGGCUGGGGUUGCAAUGUGUUGGAUGAAAAGGAAUCUCCACUGCAGCUUUUGGUUUUUCAGUGUUCUUUAUAUGCAGGAAAAUAUCUGGAGGCCCCCAAAUCACCGAAGGGAAAAGUCAACUGGAAACUGCUUAGUACCAGCCUGCUUCCCAUUCUAUCCAGAGUCACCCUGCUGCUCACUGAGGUAGUGCAUAUCUGAUUGGCUCUUUUGUGGUUUUUCUUUUUUCUUCUGUUUUUAGACAGGGACUCACUCUGUUGC